rnacentral:rRNA from 1 species
UGCUGGAGGUAUCAGAAGUGCGAAUGCUGACAUAAGUAACGAUAAUGCGGGUGAAAAACCCGCACGCCGGAAGACCAAGGGUUCCUGUCCAACGUUAAUCGGGGCAGGGUGAGUCGACCCCUAAGGCGAGGCUGAAAAGCGUAGUCGAUGGGAAACAGGUUAAUAUUCCUGUACUCGGUGUUACUGCGAAGGGGGGACGGAGACGGCUAUGUCAUCCGGGCGACGGUUGUCCCGGUUUAAGCGUGCAGGUGGGUGGACCAGGCAAAUCCGGUCUGCUAUCAACACUGAGGCGUGAUGACGAGGCACUACGGUGCUGAAGUGACAGAUGCCCUGCUUCCAGGAAAAGCCUCUAAGCAUCAGGUAACAGUGAAUCGUACCCCAAACCGACACAGGUGGUCAGGUAGAGAAUACUCAGGCGCUUGAGAGAACUCGGGUGAAGGAACUAGGCAAAAUGGUGCCGUAACUUCGGGAGAAGGCACGCUGGGCAUGGUGAAGUCCCCUGCGGACGGAGCUGGGCCCAGUCGCAGAUACCAGCUGGCUGCAACUGUUUAAUAAAAACACAGCACUGUGCAAACACGAAAGUGGACGUAUACGGUGUGACGCCUGCCCGGUGCCGGAAGGUUAAUUGAUGGGGUUAUCCGCAAGGAGAAGCUCUUGAUCGAAGCCCCGGUAAACGGCGGCCGUAACUAUAACGGUCCUAAGGUAGCGAAAUUCCUUGUCGGGUAAGUUCCGACCUGCACGAAUGGCGUAAUGAUGGCCAGGCUGUCUCCACCCGAGACUCAGUGAAAUUGAACUCGCUGUGAAGAUGCAGUGUACCCGCGGCAAGACGGAAAGACCCCGUGAACCUUUACUAUAGCUUGACACUGAACCUUGAACCUUGAUGUGUAGGAUAGGUGGGAGGCUGAGAAAUGUGGACGCCAGUCUGCAUGGAGCCAACCUUGAAAUACCACCCUUUAAUGUUUGAUGUUCUAACGUGGGCCCGUGAACCGGGUUGCGGACAGUGUCUGGUGGGUAGUUUGACUGGGGCGGUCUCCUCCCAAAGCGUAACGGAGGAGCACGAAGGUUAGCUAAUCCUGGUCGGACAUCAGGAGGUUAGUGCAAAGGCAUAAGCUAGCUUGACUGCGAGAGUGACGGCUCGAGCAGGUGCGAAAGCAGGUCUUAGUGAUCCGGUGGUUCUGAAUGGAAGGGCCAUCGCUCAACGGAUAAAAGGUACUCCGGGGAUAACAGGCUGAUACCGCCCAAGAGUUCAUAUCGACGGCGGUGUUUGGCACCUCGAUGUCGGCUCAUCACAUCCUGGGGCUGAAGUAGGUCCCAAGGGUAUGGCUGUUCGCCAUUUAAAGUGGUACGCGAGCUGGGUUUAGAACGUCGUGAGACAGUUCGGUCCCUAUCUGCCGUGGGCGUUGGAAGAUUGAGGGGGGUUGCUCCUAGUACGAGAGGACCGGAGUGAACGCACCGCUGGUGUUCGGGUUGUCAUGCCAAUGGCACUGCCCGGUAGCUACGUGCGGAAGAGAUAACCGCUGAAAGCAUCUAAGCGGGAAACUUGCCCCGAGAUGAGUCUUCCCUGGGUCCUUGAGACCCCUGAAGGGACGUUCGAGACGAGGACGUUGAUAGGCUGGGUGUGUAAGCGUAGCGAUACGUUGAGCUAACCAGUACUAAUGACCCGAGAGGCUUAACCUUACAACACCGAAGGUGUUU